rnacentral:rRNA from 1 species
GGUAACUGGAAUUUCUAGUGUAGGAGUGAAAUCCGUAGAUAUUAGAAGGAACACCGAUAGCGUAGGCAGGUUACUGGGACAGUUCUGACACUAAGGCACGAAAGCGUAGGGAGCAAACGGGAUUAGAUACCCCGGUAGUCUACGCCGUAAACGAUGGAUACUAGCAGUUUUGGGUAUCGACCCCCGGAGUUGCGAAGCUAACGCGUUAAGUAUCCCACCUGUGUAGUACGAUCGCAAGAUUAAAACAUAAAGGAAUUGACGGGGACCCGCACAAGCGGUGGAGCGUGAUCUUUAAUUCGAUGGUAAACGAUAAACCUUACCAAGGCUUGACAUCCGAUGUAGGCUCUCGAAAGAGAACUGUGCCUUCGGGAACAUCGAGACAGGUGAUGCAUGGCCGUCGUCAGCUCGUGUCGUGAGAUGUUUGGUUAAGUCCAUCAACGAGCGCAACCCUUGUGAAUAGUUGGAUUUUUCUAUUCAGACUGCCCCGGUAACGGGGAGGAAGGAGGGGAUGAUGUCAGGUCAGUAUUUCCCUUACGCCUUGGGCUAGAAUCGCGCUACAAUGGCUGGUACAAUGCGAAGCGAAGCAGUGAUGUGAAGCAAAUCGCACCAAAGCCAGUCCCAGUUCGGAUAGAAGGCUGAAACUCGCCUUCUUGAAGUCGGAAUCGCUAGUAAUCGCAGAUCAGCAUGUUGCGGUGAAUACGUUCCCGGGUCUUGUACACACCGCCCGUCAAACCAUGAGAGUCACCAACACCCGAAGUCCGCCUCGGCGGCCUAAGGUGGGGGAGAUGAUUGGGGUUAAGUCGUAACAAGGCAUCGGUACGAGAACGUGUCGAUG